CGCCAUUCUCCUGCCUCAGCUCCCUGAGUAGCUGGGACUACAGGCGCCCUCGCGCCUGGCUGAUUUUUUGUAUUUUUAGCAGAGACGGAGUUUCACCAUGUUAGCCAGGAUGGUCUUGAUUUUCUGACCUUGUAAUCCGGCUGCCUCAGCCUCCCAAAGUGCUGGGAUUACAAGCGUGAGCCACUGCGCCCGGCCUAGUUGAGGAGUAAAUGGACUGGAUUAAAGUUAAACCAUAACCCCAAAUUCAGGUUCUUACUAAACCUCUUCAAAGAAAUGGCAGCAUGAUGAGCUUUGAAAAUGUGAAAGAAAAGAGCAGAGAAGGAGGGCCCCAUGCACACACACCCGAAGAAGAAUUGUGUUUCGUGGUAACACACUACCCUCAGGUUCAGACCACACUCAACCUGUUUUUCCAUAUAUUCAAGGUUCUUACUCAACCACUUUCCCUUCUGUGGGGUUGUGAUCAGAAGCCUCGUACUGUUCCUACCCUUGGAAACGGCGCAUGGGAUACCUGCCAACAACACAUACGCACUUCAUCAUGGACAGCAAACACACUCGUCAUUCAAAACCAGCAUUCACGGGAAAGCACUGUUUCUGUUUGCCUUUUUAUGUUAAUCCGCAUGCAACAUAUUUUGAAAACAGAUACACUUCAACAGUUCAGAAUAUGCUAGUACUAAUAAAACCAACAUGUUACAUGCUGAAGUAAUUGCUCAAUUCAGUAAAACCCCUAGACCCUCGGCAAACAAAUGUGAAAUUCAAGAAAAUUUUAAAUGAUUAUCUCAUCAAAGACCCCCCAGGGCAACAAAGAAUCCUGGGAGGGGGUGGCUUGUUCAAGGGUCAUUGUAUGUCAACGGCUUCAGGAACUUGGCACGGUCUGGAGACCCCCAGCAAAGAAAAAUGUUUCCUCUGGGGAGCUCAUUCUUGGGUUUCUCAAACCCCUGGUUUGAAAACUAAGGUUUCAUGUCUUUACCUCUAGUAGAUCUAAUGUCCAUAUGUCUUACUGUAAAACCAGGACUUUGACCCAACCCAUGAUUAACUUGCCUUUCAAGAAGUACCUGAGACACAAUACCAGAGGCGCCAUUCCAUGGUGAAUACUUGAAUGUAUACCUGAAGAAAAAGUCUCUUGUUUUAAAAAUUAAACAGCACACUUAACACAGUCAAUUUUGAAUCCCAGCCUGUAUAUUCAGGUCAUGUCAGGUUUCUCCUAGUAAUGCCAACUGCUUUGGCAGUUAACUAGGAAACAACAAGACAGAGGAUUGGUCAGAAGUUAAUGAAGCUUCGUGUGUAUGUUUAGCCUUGAUUCUAAAAUUCCCAUAUAGACAGG
rnacentral:lncRNA from 10 species